CAUUAUUACAUGAAAUGCCUCCAUCUUUUUCUCCGUUGUACCUGCACGGGAAUUCCUUCCUGCUGUAUGUCUAGUUACCAGGUUUACUAGUGCCCUCAUUUUGCUUUACAUUGCAAAACUUUAGUCCUUUUGUCCAAAUAACAGUGUAUCUUCUGCAUGUGUAACCUCAAAACUUAGAUAAAUUUAUUGUGGGCAUAUGUUGUGAUGCUCGAUAUUAUGUUUUGCUCAUUGGCAACUUUUCUUUUUGUGCUUUGAUGGUCAUUACAAAUGUUGUAUUACUAGCCUGUUUGAUAGUUCAUAGUUCAUUGGUUUCAUUCUUUUCUUCUAUCUAAGGCAGUCACGUGAACUUCCAUGCACGUAUACGUAUCGAUCAAUUGGUGUUAAUAAGCAUGACACCAUCUCAUACAUAUGAAAAGCAAGCUCAUUCUCUCUUCAGCUUAAUUUCUACAUACUUUUGGGAUGGGAUUUUGCUCAUCUCACCAUAUCAAAGUAACCAUGUCCUUUCGUUGGCCUAUGCCGGUCCAUUUCCUCUUCAGCAUCUGAUUUCCACCUCCUUUCUCAUGUUUGUGUUCUACCAACUAAAUGAUGGCAUAUGCUGUUUACCUGGUUAUAUGUGCCUCUGGAUCCUUUUCUGUCACAUAACUGCCCUCAGAUUGAUAUACUGUUGUGAUUAGGAAUGAAAUUUUUGAAAAAUUGGGAUUUAUAAUAUAAAGUCAAUAAAAAAUCCAUGUUAUCCGGAUUUUCCUCCAGCCAAGUAGGGUGUCUGAUUUUUUUUCCCCAUGAGGUUACAUGAGAAUGCAUUAAACAUAUGAUGAUCAG
rnacentral:lncRNA from 1 species